rnacentral:rRNA from 1 species
AUUGAACGCUGGCGGCAUGCCUUACACAUGCAAGUCGAACGGUAACAGGCCGCAAGGUGCUGACGAGUGGCGAGCGGGUGAGUAAUGCAUCGGAACGUGCCCAGUCGUGGGGGAUAACGCAGCGAAAGCUGCGCUAAUACCGCAUACGAUCUAUGGAUGAAAGCGGGGGACCGUAAGGCCUCGCGCGAUUGGAGCGGCCGAUGUCAGAUUAGGUAGUUGGUGGGGUAAAGGCUCACCAAGCCAACGAUCUGUAGCUGGUCUGAGAGGACGACCAGCCACACUGGGACUGAGACACGGCCCAGAUUCCUACGGGAGGCAGCAGUGGGGAAUUUUGGACAAUGGGCGCAAGCCUGAUUCAGCAAUGCCGCGUGCAGGAAGAAGGCCUUCGGGUUGUAAACUGCUUUUGUACGGAACGAAACGGUCCUGGUUAAUACCUGGGGCUAAUGACGGUACCGUAAGAAUAAGCACCGGCUAACUACGUGCCAGCCGCCGCCGUAA